rnacentral:lncRNA from 1 species
UUGUGGAAUUCUGUACAUAAACUUUUUGUAUUGUAAUACGUGUUUUCCCUGUAAUAUUCAGAUUUAUAGUGGUAUUGCUAUAGAAGUUUAUAAGACAUUAUUUUUUCUUGUUAGAACCAACAAGCUUUCUUAUUUGAUACGGUAAUAAUUAGCAUGGCGUUUUUUGUCUUUAAAAUACCAAUAGUAUUGAGGUGAGCGUUUAUGUGUACCGAUUUAUUCUGCAAUGUAUGAGUUUUAUGUGUAGCUUUGUGUUUAUAUUCCAUUUGUUGAAAUAAACUAUGCUAUGGCAGUGAGUAAACACUCGAUCACAAUAUAAACGUGUCGUUCCCUAGUAAGUUUUGUC